GAAGAGGGGCUCUGUGCCUCGAUGCUUUCUUCAGGACCUGGUCUCACACGGCGGGGAGGCAGGUCCUGGGACAGGAAGUCCACCUUCCAAAGUUACAGAGUAACCUCGGGGCCAGCAUCUAUUUGAGGAGAACCCUGAGGAGACAGUGCCCUCAGAAUCCAUCAACCCAUGUCCAUGGUGCAGAGGCUCAGAGAGGGACAGAGCCCUGCCCAGGGGCACACAGCAAGUGGGAGAUGGAGAGUCAAACCCACGUUCCCUGUCUACUGGCCUGGGACUCGUUUCAAGAGGAGAUUCUAGAAGAUGAGCCCAUUGGAUGGAUGUCGCCUGCAAUGACACCUGCCGGGGGACUCCAUCCCCGUGACUCAACCAUGCAAGCCAGGAGGCCCAGGCCAGUGCCACCUGGGGACCUUUCUUCCCUCCCAGGCUGUGCCCCAAUCUAGGGUCUCGGAGACCCGGCAAGGACCAAAGGAGCCAGCUCUGUAGAAGGUACUUGGGGAGAAGACAUCCUCUUGAAGUUUGCUUCUCCAAUGCAUGCUGUCCCACCUUCUGAAACUCAAACUCAAGCAGAUGGCUAAAAAGGAAAGUUCUUUGCUCCUGACCAACCUACAGCAUUCAGAGACGGGUUCGGAGCAGGGAUAAACAAGAACAUUAGAUAAUGUUAAAAAAAAAGCUCCAUUUGUUGAGCACUCACUGCAUGCCAAGCACCUCUCUCCUCCACUCAGUAAAACAACUACUGUGUGUCAUUGCAGUUCAGUUGCCAGGAACGCUUGUGUGACCCACACAGACAGGUCCUUCACUCAUAGCUUCUUUGUAAAUCCCCACAACUUCUUACCAGGGGAGCAUCAUCGUCCACGAUGGACAAAAUGGGCUCAAGGAGUGAAGUGACUUCCUGAGGUCACACAGCACAGACAUGGUAGGCAGCCCACAAAUUCACAGAGCAAAGCAGUCUUCCGAGGCAGAGGGUGACUGGAUGGGAGAGAAGCAACUACCAAAGUCACAGCAGUUUCUCGGGCGGCCGGCUGGUGCCCCUGCCGCCCAGGUGAUGAGACACAGAGCCUGCCAGGGAGGGUGCUCCGUUCACAUUUGUGAGCUGGACACGAGGGUCUCCCUAGUACCCC
ensembl:lncRNA